CCUACGGGAGGCAGCAGUGGGGAAUAUUGCACAAUGGGCGAAAGCCUGAUGCAGCGACGCCGCGUGAGGGAAGACGGUUUUCGGAUUGUAAACUUCUGUUCUUAGUGAAGAAUAAUGACGGUAACUAAGGAGCAAGCCACGACUAACUACGUGCUAGCAGCCGCGGUAAUACGUAGGUGGCAAGCGUUGUCCGGAAUUACGGGGGGUAAAGGGAGCGUAGGGGGGAAGCCAAGUCAGCUGUGAAAACUACGGGCUCAACCUGUAGACUGCAGUUGAAACUGGCUUUCUUGAGUGAAGUAGAGGUAGGCGGAAUUCCGGGUGUAGCGGUGAAAUGCGUAGAUAUUCGGAGGAACACCGGUGGCGAAGGCGGCCAACUGGGCUUUAACUGACGCUGAGGCUCGAAAGUGUGGGGAGCAAACAGGAUUAGAUACCCUUGUAGUC
rnacentral:rRNA from 1 species